rnacentral:lncRNA from 1 species
GCGCCCCCCGGCGGGCGGAGCCCGGCGCCGCGGCCAGGAUUUCCCACCUCGCUCCCGCGACUCCGCUGCGGGUCUGCACACCCGAGGACUCGGGGUACUUAACCGAAACUAGCAAUCCCAGGCGGUACAAGGCCCUCCAUCGUAGGCAAAGCACUACCUGAAUGUAGAUUUGGGCCAUACGUUGGAAAAUAAGACAUGAGAGUAUGCUCCGAUCAACUUUUACUGUUCACUGGACAACUAUUUUGGGAAUUUGCAGACCUAUAAAGCCCAUCUAUAAAUCUCAAGCAUGUCCACUUUCAGAGAAGAGAAAUGCUGACAACCAUUUAGUCUCUGAGGACAACACUUUUAAAGUGUAACAAUGUGGCAUCCAGAGCUUAUCCAGAUGAGCGGAGAGCAAAUGAAUUUCCUUCUGCUCCCCUGUUGAAGAGGAGAGAAAAAUUCUUCAAGCUCACCUGUUCUUCUCAUCGCUGGACCUAUAAAGUGGCAUUAAUCAUCAAGAGUCCAGCAGAAUUGGGAAAGUCAUGUAUGCUGCAAAGUACAUUCCAAAGUCUUAAAAUAUUCUUGUCUUAUCCACUGUUGUUUAUUUGUUUACUUAUUUUUAAACAAACAUCUGUUUGAAAGAGGGAGUGCUAACUGUGUGUUCUGGUAUCCCUUACCUGAAAAAUGCCUUCCUCUGUGGGUCUCAGUGAAUCCCACUCAGGAGAAUCCAGGAACUGAAGGGGGAAAAUGUAAUGCAGAAAUUCGCCAUCAACUGUCACUCUGAUCCUAUCAAAACACAAGAACAACAUUUAUAAGGGAAGGAGAAAGAGAGCACAUAAUUGGGGAGGGGUGGGGGGUAGAGGAAGUGUAUUUCAGAUCCCUGAUGACUCUUGCCCUUUAUGAUUUUGAAAGGCAAAAUAUUAAAUUCAUACAUUAUAAUAAGUGACAUAAUGUCCUGUAAGAUUCAUGUUAUCAUGUUCCUUAUACAGUCAGGAUUCUGGAAUAUUGAGUGAAAUUCAUCAGAAAAUUCAUCAAGUUGUACAUUUAUAUAUGUCCAUUUAUGUGUGCAUAUUAUACUUCAAUAAAACAUUUUAAUGGA